rnacentral:rRNA from 1 species
UACGAAGGGUGCAAGCGUUACUCGGAAUUACUGGGCGUAAAGGGUGCGUAGGCGGGUCUUUAAGUCAGGGGUGAAAUCCUGGAGCUCAACUCCAGAACUGCCUUUGAUACUGAGGAUCUUGAGUUCGGGAGAGGUGAGUGGAACUGCGAGUGUAGAGGUGAAAUUCGUAGAUAUUCGCAAGAACACCAGUGGCGAAGGCGGCUCACUGGCCCGAUACUGACGCUGAGGCGCGAAAGCUAGGGGAGCAAACGGG